UGAGCUCGAUGAGUAGGGCGGGACACGUGAUAUCCUGUCUGAAGAUGGGGGGACCAUCCUCCAAGGCUAAAUACUCCUGACUGACCGAUAGUGAACCAGUACCGUGAGGGAAAGGCGAAAAGAACCCCGGCGAGG
rnacentral:rRNA from 1 species